rnacentral:rRNA from 1 species
UGAGGAAUAUUGGUCAAUGGACGGAAGUCUGAACCAGCCAAGUCGCGUGAAGGAAGACGGUUCUAUGGAUUGUAAACUUCUUUUGCCUGAGGGUAAAACGCGGUACGUGUACCGCCUUGUAAGUAUCAGGUGAAUAAGCAUCGGCUAACUCCGUGCCAGCAGCCGCGGUAAUACGGAGGAUGCGAGCGUUAUCCGGAUUUAUUGGGUUUAAAGGGUGCGUAGGCGGGAUGUUAAGUCAGCGGUGAAAGUUUGCGGCUCAACCGUAAAAUUGCCGUUGAAACUGGCGUUCUUGAGUGUAAACGAGGUAGGCGGAAUGUGACGUGUAGCGGUGAAAUGCUUAGAUAUCACACAGAACACCGAUUGCGAAGGCAUCUCACGAAUCCGCAAUUGACGCUGAGGCACGAAAGUGUGGGGAUCAAACAGGAUUAGAUACCCUGGUAGU